CAAAUACUCCCUCCGUCUGGAAAUACUUGUCAUUGAAAUGGAUGUAUCUAGAUGUAUUUUAGUUCUAAAUACAUUCAUUUUCAUCCAUUUUGAUGACAAGUAAUUCCGGACGGAGGGAGUAUGGA
rnacentral:pre_miRNA from 1 species